GAUCAUGGCUCAGGAUGAACGCUAGCGGCAGGCUUAACACAUGCAAGGUCGAGGGGCAGCGGGUGUAGCAAUACAUGCCGGCGACCGGCGAAAGGGUGAGUAACGCGUGAGCAACGUGCCCGUAUGUGGGGGAUAGUCGAUGGAAACGUCGCGUAAUACCCCGUAACACAUUUGGCCGCAUGGCCUUAUGUUGAAAGAUUGAUUGCAUACGGAUCGGCUCGCGUGCCAUUAGGUAGACGGCGGGGUAACGGCCCACCGUGCCGACGAUGGCUAGGGGUUCUGAGAGGAAGGUCCCCCACAUUGGAACUGAGACACGGUCCAGACUCCUACGGGAGGCAGCAGUGAGGAAUAUUGGACAAUGGCCGGAAGGCUGAUCCAGCCAUGCCGCGUGCGGGAAGAACCGGCCCUAUGGGUUGUAAACCGCUUUUGCGAGGGAGCAAUAAGUGCUACGUGUAGUGCGAUGAGAGUACCUCGCGAAUAAGCAUCGGCUAACUCCGUGCCAGCCGCGGC
rnacentral:rRNA from 1 species